rnacentral:misc_RNA from 1 species
GGGUGGAUGUAUGCUGUUGAUGGCUUACCAACGCCUCAUGGGCGGAUGUGUGCUUUUGAUGGCUUAUUAACGCCUUAUGGGUAGAUGCGUGUCGUUGAUGGCUUGUCAAUGCCUCAUGGGCAGAUGUAUGCCUUUGAUGGCUUUAUCGAUGCCUCAUGGGCAGACAUGUAUCGUUGAUGGCUUGUCGAUACCUCAUGGGCAAAUGUGUACCUUUGAUAGCU